UCCCAAAGUCAUGGUUAAGUGGGAAACGAUGUGGGAAGGCCCAGACAGCCAGGAUGUUGGCUUAGAAGCAGCCAUCAUUUAAAGAAAGCGUAAUAGCUCACUGGUCGAGUCGGCCUGCGCGGAAGAUGUAACGGGGCUAAACCAUGCACCGAAGCUGCGGCAGCGACGCUGAUGCGUUGUUGGGUAGGGGAGCGUUCUGUAAGCCUGCGAAGGUGUGCUGUGAGGCAUGCUGGAGGUAUCAGAAGUGCGAAUGCUGACAUAAGUAACGAUAAAGCGGGUGAAAAGCCCGCUCGCCGGAAGACCAAGGGUUCCUGUCCAACGUUAAUCGGGGCAGGGUGAGUCGACCCCUAAGGCGAGGCCGAAAGGCGUAGUCGAUGGGAAACAGGUUAAUAUUCCUGUACUUGGUGUUACUGCGAAGGGGGGACGGAGAAGGCUAUGUUGGCCGGGCGACGGUUGUCCCGGUUUAAGCGUGUAGGCUGGUUUUCCAGGCAAAUCCGGAAAAUCAAGGCUGAGGCGUGAUGACGAGGCACUGCGGUGCUGAAGCAACAAAUGCCCUGCUUCCAGGAAAAGCCUCUAAGCAUCAGGUAACAUCAAAUCGUACCCCAAACCGACACAGGUGGUCAGGUAGAGAAUACCAAGGCGCUUGAGAGAACUCGGGUGAAGGAACUAGGCAAAAUGGUGCCGUAACUUCGGGAGAAGGCACGCUGAUAUGUAGGUGAAGUCCCUCGCGGAUGGAGCUGAAAUCAGUCGAAGAUACCAGCUGGCUGCAACUGUUUAUUAAAAACACAGCACUGUGCAAACACGAAAGUGGACGUAUACGGUGUGACGCCUGCCCGGUGCCGGAAGGUUAAUUGAUGGGGUUAGCGCAAGCGAAGCUCUUGAUCGAAGCCCCGGUAAACGGCGGCCGUAACUAUAACGGUCCUAAGGUAGCGAAAUUCCUUGUCGGGUAAGUUCCGACCUGCACGAAUGGCGUAAUGAUGGCCAGGCUGUCUCCACCCGAGACUCAGUGAAAUUGAACUCGCUGUGAAGAUGCAGUGUACCCGCGGCAAGACGGAAAGACCCCGUGAACCUUUACUAUAGCUUGACACUGAACAUUGAGCCUUGAUGUGUAGGAUAGGUGGGAGGCUUUGAAGUGUGGACGCCAGUCUGCAUGGAGCCGACCUUGAAAUACCACCCUUUAAUGUUUGAUGUUCUAACGUUGACCCGUAAUCCGGGUUGCGGACAGUGUCUGGUGGGUAGUUUGACUGGGGCGGUCUCCUCCUAAAGAGUAACGGAGGAGCACGAAGGUUGGCUAAUCCUGGUCGGACAUCAGGAGGUUAGUGCAAUGGCAUAAGCCAGCUUGACUGCGAGCGUGACGGCGCGAGCAGGUGCGAAAGCAGGUCAUAGUGAUCCGGUGGUUCUGAAUGGAAGGGCCAUCGCUCAACGGAUAAAAGGUACUCCGGGGAUAACAGGCUGAUACCGCCCAAGAGUUCAUAUCGACGGCGGUGUUUGGCACCUCGAUGUCGGCUCAUCACAUCCUGGGGCUGAAGUAGGUCCCAAGGGUAUGGCUGUUCGCCAUUUAAAGUGGUACGCGAGCUGGGUUUAGAACGUCGUGAGACAGUUCGGUCCCUAUCUGCCGUGGGCGCUGGAGAACUGAGGGGGGCUGCUCCUAGUACGAGAGGACCGGAGUGGACGCAUCACUGGUGUUCGGGUUGUCAUGCCAAUGGCACUGCCCGGUAGCUAAAUGCGGAAGAGAUAAGUGCUGAAAGCAUCUAAGCACGAAACUUGCCCCGAGAUGAGUUCU
rnacentral:rRNA from 1 species